rnacentral:rRNA from 1 species
UACGAACUGUGCAAACGUUAUUCGGAAUCACUGGGCUUAAAGGGUGCGUAGGCGGCCAUUUAAGUAGGGUGUGAAAGCCCCCGGCUCAACCGGGGAAUUGCGUCCUAAACUGGAUGGCUGGAGUGAGAUAGAGAUGUGUGGAACUUCCGGUGGAGCGGUGAAAUGUGUUGAUAUCGGAAGGAACGCCGGUGGCGAAAGCGACACACUGGGUCUCAACUGACGCUGAGGCACGAAGGCGUGGGGAGCGAACGGG